GACGACGCUGGCGGCGUGCUUAACACAUGCAAGUCGAGCGGUAAGGCUCCUUCGGGAGUACACGAGCGGCGAACGGGUGAGUAACACGUGAGUAACCUGCCCCAAUCAUCGGGAUAACCAUUGGAAACGAUGGCUAAUACCGAAUACGACCACCGAAGGCAUCUUCUGGUGGUGGAAAGCUCCGGCGGAUUGGGAUGGACUCGCGGCCUAUCAGCUUGUUGGUGAGGUAAUGGCUCACCAAGGCAACGACGGGUAGCCGGCCUGAGAGGGUGACCGGCCACACUGGGACUGAGACACGGCCCAGACUCCUACGGGAGGCAGCAGUGGGGAAUAUUGGACAAUGGGCGCAAGCCUGAUCCAGCAACGCCGCGUGAGGGAUGACGGCCUUCGGGUUGUAAACCUCUUUCAGUAGGGACGAAGCGAAAGUGACGGUACCUACAGAAGAAGGACCGGCCAACUACGUG
rnacentral:rRNA from 1 species